GGGGGUAUAGCUCAGUGGUAGAGUGCUUAAUUACAAAUCAAGUGAUCCUUGAUUCAAGCCCAAGUGCCCUCU